rnacentral:rRNA from 2 species
GACUCCGACGGGAGGCAGCAGUAGGGAAUCAUCCGCAAUGGACGAAAGUCUGACGGUGCAACGCCGCGUGAGUGAGGAAGGCCUUCGGGUCGUAAAACUCUGUUGUUAGGGAAGAACAAGUUCCGUUCGAAUAGGGCGGAGCCUUGACGGUACCUAACCAGAAAGCCACGGCUAACUACGUGCCAGCAGCCGCGGUAAUACGUAGGUGGCAAGCGUUGUCCGGAAUUAUUGGGCGUAAAGCGCGCGCAGGCGGUUCCUUAAGUCUGAUGUGAAAGCCCACGGCUCAACCGUGGAGGGUCAUUGGAAACUGGGGAACUUGAAGACAGAAGAGGAGAGCGGAAUUCCACGUGUAGCGGUGAAAUGCGUAGAGAUGUGGAGGAACACCAGUGGCGAAGGCGGCUCUCUGGUCUGUGCUUGACGCUGAGGCGCGAAAGCGUGGGGAGCGAACAGGAUUAGAUACCCUGGUAGUCCACGCCGUAAACGAUGAGUGCUAGGUGUUAGGGGUUUCCACCCUUAGUGCUGCAGUUAACGCAAUAAGCACUCCGCCUGGGGAGUACGGCCGCAAGGCUGAAACUCAAAGGAAUUGACGGGGGCCCGCACAAGCGGUGGAGCAUGUGGUUUAAUUCGAAGCAACGCGAAGAACCUUACCAGGUCUUGACAUCCUCGGACCACCCUAGAGAUAGGGUCUUCCCUUCGGGGACCGAGUGACAGGUGGUGCAUGGUUGUCGUCAGCUCGUGUCGUGAGAUGUUGGGUUAAGUCCCGCAACGAGCGCAACCCUUGAUCUUAGUUGCCAGCAUUCAGUUGGGCACUCUAA